rnacentral:snRNA from 1 species
AUUGAUCGAUGAUUUUUUAAGUGAAAGGUUACCGUGAUCAUGAAGGCGGUUCCUCCAGGGUGAGGCUCUUCCAUUGCACUACGGUUGAGCUGACCUCUGCGAAUAUCCCUAAUGUGGAUAUCUCGGACGUACAAUUUUUGGUAGUCGGGACUGCGUUCGCGCUAUCCCGGAUAA